GAUGAACGCUGGCGGCGUGCUUAACACAUGCAAGUCGAACGGAAAGGCCCAAGCUUGCUUGGGUACUCGAGUGGCGAACGGGUGAGUAACACGUGGGUGAUCUGCCCUGCACUUCGGGAUAAGCCUGGGAAACUGGGUCUAAUACCGGAUAGGACCACAUUUUGGAUGGUGUGGUGGAAAGUUUUUCGGUGUGGGAUGAGCUCGCGGCCUAUCAGCUUGUUGGUGGGGUAAUGGCCUACCAAGGCGUCGACGGGUAGCCGGCCUGAGAGGGUGUACGGCCACAUUGGGACUGAGAUACGGCCCAGACUCCUACGGGAGGCAGCAGUGGGGAAUAUUGCACAAUGGGCGCAAGCCUGGUGCAGCGACGCCGCGUGGGGGAUGACGGCCUUCGGGUUGUAAACUCCUUUCGCUAGGGACGAAGCGCAAGUGACGGUACCUGGAGAAGAAGCACCGGCUAACUACGUG
rnacentral:rRNA from 1 species